rnacentral:rRNA from 1 species
UACGUAGGGCGCAAGCGUUAUCCGGAAUUAUUGGGCGUAAAGAGCUCGUAGGCGGUUUGUCGCGUCUGCCGUGAAAGUCCGGGCUCAACUCCGGAUCUGCGGUGGGUACGGGCAGACUAGAGUGAUGUAGGGGAGACUGGAAUUCCUGGUGUAGCGGUGAAAUGCGCAGAUAUCAGGAGGAACACCGGUGGCGAAGGCGGGUCUCUGGGCCGAAACUGACGCUGAGGAGCGAAAGCGUGGGGAGCGAACAGG